rfam:Postia placenta Mad-698-R POSPLscaffold_76_Cont3929, whole genome shotgun sequence.
GGGCAAUUGGCACAGUGGUAGCGCGCACGCUUCGCAUGUUGUGCUUGCGUGAGGUCCAGGGUUCAAUCCCCUGAUUGUCCA